CGUGUUUUUAGCGGGAGUAAUUACAUCGAAUGCUUCGUGGAAAGUUGAAGGAGUCGGAAUUCAUGACACUAGCCGUUUAGAAAAUGUUUUGUGUUAUGCUAUAAAAAUGGAUUUUAUCGAACAAACUGGGCCUUUUGUAUCACCAAAAGAAGAAGAUCUUCAAAGGUGUGAAUGGAUGGGGCAGGUACAGUAGCUGCAGAAAGAGUAUAAAACAGGGCUGCAGAGAGCAGAGAGACACCACACUACUACUGAAGACCAGAAGACAUCAUCCAGAUAAACAGCCAUCAAUCAGACAGCAUCGUCCAACUGUAAGAGCUCUCCUGCAGGAGGAUGAUCUAAAAAGUGGAAAGGCUGCAUUUUUGGCAAAGUUGGCUGCUCUGAAGACCAGCGCCUCUGAAGAUGAAGCACCAUUUUGGAGCGUGCUUUGGAACAAAGCCAAGGAAAUUGUGGGGUGAGAAGCGACCAGAAUUGGGAUGCCGAGGAUCCUUUUCAGUCUCCAUAUGGAAUCAACUAUCACCUCUGAAGACAUCACUAACAAUACCUCAAUGAAUCAUUCCAACAUCCAUCCAUCAAUCACUGACUAACAAAAAACAAAACAGUAAUACAGUUCUUUGGUACUUUGGUACUGAGAAGAACUCAUCAACAUAAUGAAGAAUAUAUGUUUUAUCCAUAAACGUACUUUAUGUCCUGACACAUGGUCGUUUUUUCGUCAAGACAGCGGAUUUAUAUUAAUGAUCAGAAU
rnacentral:lncRNA from 1 species